UACGGAGGGUGCAAGCGUUAUCCGGAUUCACUGGGUUUAAAGGGUGCGUAGGUGGGCAGGUAAGUCAGUGGUGAAAUCUCCGGGCUUAACUCGGAAACUGCCAUUGAUACUAUCUUUCUUGAAUACCGUGGAGGUCAGCGGAAUAUGUCAUGUAGCGGUGAAAUGCUUAGAUAUGACAUAGAACACCAAUUGCGAAGGCAGCUGGCUACACGAAUAUUGACACUGAUGCACGAAGGCGUGGGGAUCAAACAGG
rnacentral:rRNA from 1 species